AUUGAACGCUGGCGGCAGGCCUAACACAUGCAAGUCGAGCGGAGCGGCGGACGGGUGAGUAUUGUCUGGGAAAAUGCCUGAUGGAGGGGGAUAACUCCUGGAAACGGUAGCUAAUACCGCAUACUAUCAGAUUAGACUCGGUGGGGUUAGCUUGUUGGGGGGGUAAAGGCCUACCAAGGCGACGGUCCGUCUCUGGUCUGAGAGGAUGAUCAGUCACACUGGAACUGAGACACGGUCCAGACUCCUACGGGAGGCAGCAGUGGGGAAUAUUGGACAAUGGGCGAAAGCCUGAUCCAGCCAUGCCGCGUGUGUGAAGAAGGUCUUCGGAUUGUAAAGCACUUUAAGUUGGGAGGCGUGACCAACAGAAUAAGCACCGGCUAACUUCGUGCCAGCAGCCGCGGUAAUAG
rnacentral:rRNA from 1 species